UGGGGAAUAUUGGACAAUGGGCGCAAGCCUGAUCCAGCCAUGCCGCGUGAGUGAUGAAGGCCUUAGGGUUGUAAAGCUCUUUUGUCAGGGAAGAUAAUGACGGUACCUGAAGAAUAAGCACCGGCUAACUUCGUGCCAGCAGCCGCGGUAAUACGAAGGGUGCUAGCGUUGUUCGGAAUUACUGGGCGUAAAGCGCGCGUAGGCGGCUAUUCAAGUCAGAGGUGAAAUCCCUGGGCUCAACCCAGGAAUUGCCUUUGAAACUGUAUAGCUUGAGUACUGGAGGGGAUAGCGGAAUUCCUAAUGUAGAGGUGAAAUUCGUAGAUAUUAGGAGGAACACCGGUGGCGAAGGCGGCUAUCUGGACAGUAACUGACGCUGAGGCGCGAAAGCGUGGGGAUCAAACAGGAUUAGAUACCCCCGUAGUCC
rnacentral:rRNA from 1 species